rnacentral:tRNA from 1 species
GACCAUUAAGUUAAUAACAUAUGUUUUGAAAACAUAAUUAGGGCCUUACCCAAUGGUAA